rnacentral:rRNA from 1 species
CCUACGGGUGGCAGCAGUGAGGAAUAUUGGUCAAUGGGCGCGAGCCUGAACCAGCCAAGUCGCGUGAGGGAAGACGGUCCUAUGGAUUGUAAACCUCUUUUGUCGGGGAGCAAAAGACGCCACGCGUGGCGUUCCGAGCGUACCCGACGAAAAAGCAUCGGCUAACUCCGUGCCAGCAGCCGCGGUAAUACGGGGGAUGCGAGCGUUAUCCGGAUUUAUUGGGGUUAAAGGGUGCGCAGGCGGAAGAUCAAGGCAGCGGUAAAAUUGACAGGCUCAACCUCGUUGAGCCGUUGAAACUGGUGUUCUUGAGUGAGGGAGAAGUAGGCGGAAUGCGUGGUGUAGCGGUGAAAUGCAUAGAUAUAACGAAGAACACCGAUGGCGAAGGCAGCAGACCGGCGCGCAACUGACGGUGAUGCACGAAAGUGUGGGUAUCGAACAGGAUUAGAUACCCUUGUAGUC